UUGGUGCUGACUAGACGCUGACAACGCCGAA
rnacentral:piRNA from 1 species